AAAUCCGGUUCACUUUAACACUGAGGCGUGACGACGAGGCACUACGGUGCUGAAGCAACAAAUGCCCUGCUUCCAGGAAAAGCCUCUAAGCAUCAGGUAACAUCAAAUCGUACCCCAAACCGACACAGGUGGUCAGGUAGAGAAUACCAAGGCGCUUGAGAGAACUCGGGUGAAGGAACUAGGCAAAAUGGUGCCGUAACUUCGGGAGAAGGCACGCUGACACGUAGGUGAAGUGAUUUACUCAUGGAGCUGAAGUCAGUCGAAGAUACCAGCUGGCUGCAACUGUUUAUUAAAAACACAGCACUGUGCAAACACGAAAGUGGACGUAUACGGUGUGACGCCUGCCCGGUGCCGGAAGGUUAAUUG
rnacentral:rRNA from 1 species